rnacentral:rRNA from 1 species
AGAGUUGAUCAUGGCUCAGGACGAACGCUGGCGGCGUGCCUAAUACAUGCAAGUCGAGCGGACCGAUGGGAGCUUGCUCCCUAGGUCAGCGGCGGACGGGUGAGUAACACGUGGGUAACCUGCCUGUAAGACUGGGAUAACUCCGGGAAACCGGGGCUAAUACCGGAUGCUUGAUUGAACCGCAUGGUUCAAUCAUAAAAGGUGGCUUUUAGCUACCACUUACAGAUGGACCCGCGGCGCAUUAGCUAGUUGGUGAGGUAACGGCUCACCAAGGCGACGAUGCGUAGCCGACCUGAGAGGGUGAUCGGCCGCACUGGGACUGAGACACGGCCCAGACUCCUACGGGAGGCAGCAGUAGGGAAUCUUCCGCAAUGGACGAAAGUCUGACGGAGCAACGCCCGCGUGAGUGAUGAAGGUUUUCGGAUCGUAAAACUCUGUUGUUAGGGAAGAACAAGUACCGUUCGAAUAGGGCGGUACCUUGACGGUACCUAACCAGAAAGCCACGGCUAACUACGUGCCAGCCGCGGC